UUCCGGUUGAUCCUGCCGGACCUGACUGCUAUCGGAUUGAUACUAAGCCAUGCGAGUCAUUGUAGCAAUACAAGGCAUACGGCUCAGUAACGCGUAGUCAACCUAACCUAUGGACGGGAAUAACCUCGGGAAACUGAGAAUAAUGCCCGAUAGAACAUUAUACCUGGAAUGGUUUAUGUUCCAAAUGAUUUAUCGCCGUAGGAUGGGACUGCGGCCUAUCAGUUUGUUGGUGAGGUAAUGGCCCACCAAGACUAUUACAGGUACGGGCUCUGAGAGGCGUAGCCCGGAGAUGGGUACUGAGACACGGACCCAGGCCCUAUGGGGCGCAGCAGGCGAGAAAACUUUGCAAUGUGCGAAAGCACGACAAGGUUAAUCCGAGUGAUUUGUGCUAAACGAAUCUUUUGUUAGUCCUAGAAACACUAACGAAUAAGGGGUGGGCAAGUUCUGGUGUCAGCCGCCGCGGUAAAACCAGCACC
rnacentral:rRNA from 1 species